GGCCCAUGCACUUGAUCUCUGCCUUGUUUCUAUGAACAGGUACACUUCAAGCAAAACAUGGAGGAGUUUUACAACUCCCAGACUCCACCAAGUGAAGGACCUGGAUCUACGAGCACAAACACACUGAGCAGGAUAUUGCCAACACCGCACUUCGAACUGCUGGGCAAACGAAGAAUAUGGGUGACACCGUAUCAAAAGGUGCAGACAUCAAGGUCCACACCUAAUCAAAUGUUGCACCUAAAGGACAAAGAUGGUGAGAAGUCUUGUCCAGAUGACUUAAAACAAGAAGAGGUCAAGAUCAUCGACUCAAGUUGCCUUUCCUAAUCAAGAAGGACGACCCUGGUGUUCCA
rnacentral:lncRNA from 1 species